ACAUCACAUCCUAUACAGAGGGAACAUGAAGGAGGCACACGAGCAUUUACUGCUAGAAGGUAUUUUUGUUGUUUGGGCUCCUCAGGAGAACCAACCCCCUCAACAAUUGGCAUGGAAGAGAUCACGGGUACCUUGUCGCUUGUAAUUUCUCCCUCAUGCGUUCUCUCAUGGAAAAUUCUGCAAAGCCUGUUCUGGAAGCUGAAGGAAUUGGAGGAGGGAUCACCUGGCACCUUGAAGAUGAAGACUCUGAGGCCCUCUGUGAUAACUGACUGGCAUGGCGAUUGCACACCUAGGAAGUGGAAUGCUUGGGAUUUGGUCCCAAAUGCUCUACACCAUUAUGAAAGAGGUGGAAAUAGAACAAAGCAUUUGGGGAACAGAAUGUUAUGCUUGGAGCAGAGAGGCUGUACUGGGAUGAAGUAGAAGAUAAGAUUGCAGAAGGAGUUUGGGGUGAAGUCAUGGGGAGCCUCUGAUGUCACAUGAAGGAGUCUGGAAUAUAUUCUCCAUGAGGUGGGGAUGUCUUGAAGGAUGUGGAGAGAGGAGGAAGUGAAGCAGCAUUUUCUGAGCUGUUCCUGGGUCUGCAGGUACAGCAUGGUUGGGGUGGAGGCACCAGGGACCCCAGCUGGGAUACCCUGGUGAGAUAAUAAAGAGGGAGUCUGUGGGAAUAACUGCGAAGACGCCACAAGAAAAAUGAUACAGUUGUCCCUAGUGACGAUGGCGAGUAGGGCACUAGUUCUCCCAGCAGUAGCAGCAUGUUCUGGGCACUUGGUGGAUGGGCAAACACUCAGGCCAGACAGACUCGGUGAAUCAGAACCUGGAGGUGGAGCCACCAUCUGGGUGAUUUAAAGACACACUCAAGUUGGAGGACCCCCGGCUUAGAGCAAGAAAGAGAAGGUGAAGGUGUCUGAGGUUUUGACUGAGGUGAGUAGGGGUUUGGGGUUCCUGAGAAAGAGAAAAGAGGAGGGAAGCCAGUCUGGGAGAUACUGAAGGGGGUCACUUUGCAGCUGGAAUGAGUCUGAGGUGCUGGCAGGAUAUGGAAAUGUGUGCUUGUCCUGCACCUGAGCUCCGGGAAGGGGUCCAGGCCCCAAGAUGAAGACUUAGGAAGCGUUUCUACCGUGGUGAUGUUAACGUUUUGAGAAAACCUUUCCCGAAGGAGAGAGUGCAGAGAGAGGAGGCUUCUGACCCUGUAGCCAUUGGCACUGUUAAGGGACGAAGGCUAAAAAAUGAAAGAAAUAGAGAAGGCAAGAUGAUUUAUUAGCAGGUGGAAGGAACUGUGGCAGAGAGAGGAAGUGAUGACGGGCAGAGGCCACUGUGCUGGCCCUUCGGCCUCUGCUUAUGCAGAAAAGUGAUCCUGGGCUUUGGAGCUAUUUCUGCAACUUGGCCACUCAGUGCUGAGGCUGGGCUUCCUUCCUUCUGUGUGAUAGAGAGAUGAAAAAUCCUACUUUAUCAGGCACCAAUCAUGCCAUUUCCUCAAUGUCUGUAGGAAAGCAUGAAAUAAUUGUAGUGAAGAUCACAGUUUUGCAUGUGUGGAUUGAGGUUCAAGUUCUUUAGAAAAAUCUCCAUUAGCUCGAUAAAAAGGGCUUUGGCAUUGUUUUUCAACUCACGUAAGAAAUCAAGUCAUUAUUUCCUAUUUUAAAGAUCAUCUACCCAUGGUAGAUCAUAUCCCCAUGUCAAAGUCCCAAGACUUGUCCUGUAUUGCGUUUGUCACAUUUUGAAUUUAUAUAUUU